rnacentral:rRNA from 1 species
AUCAGUAGGGGUUCUGAGAGGAAGGUCCCCCACAUUGGAACUGAGACACGGUCCAAACUCCUACGGGAGGCAGCAGUGAGGAAUAUUGGUCAAUGGGCGAGAGCCUGAACCAGCCAAGUAGCGUGCAGGAAGACGGCCCUAUGGGUUGUAAACUGCUUUUAUAAGGGAAUAAAGUUAGUCUCGUGAGACUUUUUGCAUGUACCUUAUGAAUAAGGACCGGCUAAUUCCGUGCCAGCAGCCGCGGUAAUACGGAAGGUCCGGGCGUUAUCCGGAUUUAUUGGGUUUAAAGGGAGCGUAGGCCGGAGAUUAAGCGUGUUGUGAAAUGUAGACGCUCAACGUCUGCACUGCAGCGCGAACUGGUUUCCUUGAGUACGCACAAAGUGGGCGGAAUUCGUGGUGUAGCGGUGAAAUGCUUAGAUAUCACGAAGAACUCUGAUUGCGAAGGCAGCUCACUGGAGCGCAACUGACGCUGAAGCUCGAAAGUGCGGGUAUCGAACAGGAUUAGAUACCCUGGUAGUCCGCACGGUAAACGAUGGAUGCCCGCUGUUGGUCUGAACAGGUCAGCGGCCAAGCGAAAGCAUUAAGCAUCCCACCUGGGGAGUACGCCGGCAACGGUGAAACUCAAAGGAAUUGACGGGGGCCCGCACAAGCGGAGGAACAUGUGGUUUAAUUCGAUGAUACGCGAGGAACCUUACCCGGGCUUGAAUUGCAGAGGAAGGAUUUGGAGACAAUGACGCCCUUCGGGGUCUCUGUGAAGGUGCUGCAUGGUUGUCGUCAGCUCGUGCCGUGAGGUGUCGGCUUAAGUGCCAUAACGAGCGCAACCCCUCUCCUUAGUUGCCAUCAGGUUAAGCUGGGCACUCUGGGGACACUGCCACCGUAAGGUGUGAGGAAGGUGGGGAUGACGUCAAAUCAGCACGGCCCUUACGUCCGGGGCUACACACGUGUUACAAUGGCAGGUACAGAGAGACGGUUGUACGUAAGUACGAUCAAAUCCUUAAAGCCUGUCUCAGUUCGGACUGGGGUCUGCAACCCGACCCCACGAAGCUGGAUUCGCUAGUAAUCGCGCAUCAGCCAUGGCGCGGUGAAUACGUUCCCGGGCCUUGUACACACCGCCCGUCAAGCCAUGAAAGCCGGGGGCGCCUAAAGUCCGUGACCGUAAGGAGCGGCCUAGGGCGAAACUGGUAAUUGGGGCUAAGUCGUAACAAGGUA